rnacentral:rRNA from 1 species
UACAGAGGUUUCAAGCGUUGUUCGGAUUCAUUGGGCGUAAAGGGUGCGUAGGCGGCGCGGUAAGUCGGGUGUGAAAUCUCGGAGCUUAACUCCGAAACUGCAUUCGAUACUGCCGUGCUUGAGGACUGGAGAGGAGACUGGAAUUUACGGUGUAGCGGUGAAAUGCGUAGAUAUCGAGAGGAACACCUGCGGCGAAGGCGGGUUGCUGGGCCAACACUGACGCUCAUGCACGAAAGCGUGGGGAGCAAACAGG